rnacentral:misc_RNA from 1 species
CUCCUUUCUAGAGAAAAACGACUCUCUUAUAAUAUUCGUUGGUUUAAUUGGGCUGCUGCAUCAUUCUUUUUUUUUUCCGUCCUUAUCUAGUCCUGUAGCUCAGUUGGUUAGAGCACUACACUGAUAAUGUAGGGGUCAGCAGUUCAAAUCUGCUCAGGACUACGGUGAAGAUGGGGGAUUAGCUCAGCUGGCUAGAGCGCCUGCCUUGCACGCAGGAGGUCAUCGGUUCGACUCCGAUAUUCUCCACUAAAAAGAAGUUCUUUGACGUACUGGUAGAAGAUAGAGUAAAUCAUAAGCAACAAAGGGCAGUUGGCGGAUGCCUAGGCUCUCAAUAGCGAUGAAGGACGUGAUAAGCUGCGAUAAGCCAUACUGAGAUGCAAAUAAUCGUUUAAGUAUGGAUUUCCGAAUGGGGAAACCC